UCUCUCUUUCUCUCCUUCCCUCUUCUCUCUCUUUCUCUCCUUCCCUCUUCUCUCAAACCCUAAAAAUAUCUGAACAAAACCCUUGAAAUUUCUAUAUCUCUUUCUCUGUGUUACUUCAUUACUUUUACAUUUGAUGAGAAGACGCUGUCACAUAAACAUGAAGGUGAUAACCGCAUACUUGCUCGUCGUUCUUGGAGGCAACAACACCCCUCCGCCAAAACCGUCAAGAACAUCCUUGGUUCUGUUGGAGCAAAAAACCUAGACCGUGUGAAAGCUCUUAGAGUAAAUGUUGGAACUAAACCUGAUGCAGAUCUUGGUCCAGUUAUCAGCAAACAUGUUAUAUGAUGAGAUCUGGAAAUUAAAAUCAGAUCUUGGAUAUGUGGUUUAAAUUGACAUAUUUUUUUCAGUAGUUUGAUGUUGAUAGCCCACACUAGCUUUCCCAAGAAUAAAUUAUGCGAAAAAAGGUAUACGUGAGCUUUGGGGAGUAACCCGAGGGUGCAAUUGAAGAGUUUAAAUCUGUCCUCAAGAAUGAUGGCGGUGAUUUGGACAAAAGAUGGUCAGAUAUCUUGGAGCAGCCACUUUCUAGAGGUUGUAUCAAGCACAUUCUAUGGAAGAGGCGGAGGCAUUAUGUGAUCGAUUAGGAAUAUUUAAUUUGCAAAUGGUAGCUUGCAGUGCAUUGGAAAUCUAAAAGAGAUACAUUCCACUGUUUUUUCAAAUGGUAGCUUGCGUUAUAGAUUCUACGAUGCCGACAUUGGAGUGACAUAUAAGUAUGAAUAUGUAUUAUUAACCUUUGCAACAAAUCAAUGCUAUUGCUUGCCGCUGUAUUGGAAUUUUUCCGGCUUACAACUUUCCUUCUACUGUUAGUUUCUCGGCUAACGAUAGUUCUAUGUAUUUACCUGUUUAAACAUAUUUAUUUAGCAUGCUCACUUGAAACUUCCCAUUUCCUGCAUUUAUAGUAGUGUGCUUCUUAGUAAUUAUUUGAAUUGUAUUUUUGUUAACACUUGAGUAACAAUAUUAUGGCUUAUUGGCUUUAUAAGUUUUUCCAAUUGUUCGCUGGCUUCUUUGGUUUCUGCAGUUAUGUGAGAUCACUUAUUUGUGUCUGUCCGCCAUCUGUAUUGAAGUUGAGUGCAGAUGCGUUGUAGUUUUCGUCGAGUUUUCAUCUCCUCGAUUUUGGUCGCGGGAAUUGAAUCCUUGAAUGUGUUGUCAAGAGGUUCUGUUAUCUGGUUUAUUGGAUGGUGCGGAGUCCCUAUUCUUUGCAAAUUCAGAUUAUCGGUUCAAAUCUGUCUCUUGGAUCCUGAGGUGUUCGCUUGGUCCUUAAAUUCACUGCUGUGUUGCUAUCCCAGUCCCUUCUUGGUGGCAGCACCAUUUGUUCAGUUUUAGGGUGAUUUAAUGUUGUUUUAAGCAUGUAAGAAGUUGGUUUUUUAUGUAUUAACAACAGUCUUCUGCUUAGUAUAGGAAUGAUAUUUGGAUUUGUAUUUGG